rnacentral:lncRNA from 1 species
AAGCCCGUAACUAUAUUUGGUAUGUACUUGACCCGGUUAUGCAUGGUCCUUUUGGGUUGCUUUCUACAAAGAAACUUGACAAGGUAAUUUAAGAGAGAAUUAUGAUUUAUUUAUAUAUUAUAAAAAUAAUAUAUUAAAGGAGAAAUCAUAUUUAUUUAAUUAGUAUUGGUCAUCAAUUAAUUAGGAAUUAAUUUGGUGGUCAAAAGAGAUUAAUUGAAUAAAGGGGGUAUAAACUGUCAAAUGUAUGAUAGUUGAGUUUUAGGUUAAGGAAACCUAAUGGGCUUAAGGGGGAACGAAAUUAUGAUGGGUAUCCAUCAUAUUUUCGUCCAAGGGCCUUAUUCUAGAAGGUUCCAUGGGCUGCUUGGUGGCUAAGCUGUCCAUUAGGGUUUAGAGUGAAACCCUAGUAACCUGUAAGUAUAAAUAUGACCCCUAGGGCAUGAAUUCGGCUACCACUUGAUUCUAAGAGAUCCCUAGGCCGAUUUCUAGCCUCUCUCUCCCUCGCUCAUAUUGCCUUCUUGCUUGUGGGGUUUGUGAACCAUUAGAGGAGUUGCAUUUGUGACUCUAAGCUCAAGAAAAGAAGAAAGAGAAGAUCUAAGCCAACAAUUGAAGAGGUAAACAUCUAGAUCUGAUUCUAUAUGUUAAAUUUAGUUGUUUAUAUGCUAGAUUAGGGUUUGUAAGUCUUGGAAUCAAAGCAUGUUCAAUAGUGAAACCUAGAUCCAAGCAUUAGGGUUUGCAUGAGCACAUAGGAAUGUUUCUUAUGCCUAAAAUUCAUCACUAAUGGUAUUGUAUUUCUGGAGUAAAAUCCUCUAUAUCCACCGUGCAUAUGAAUUAAAGUAGUAUAAAAUUAAGAUCACACUAAAAAAAUAUACAUAUAAAAUUAAGAUCACACUAAAAAAAAUAUACAUUGAGAUGUAAUGUGAUGCAAACAUAUUUUCUUAUCAGAGUUUGGAGUUCUUGUUGACAUCGUCACCUGUUAUUAUUAUAUAAAACAAUCAUGACAAAAAUGAUUAAAAGACUCCAUAAAUAAUUCAUGGUUUUUUAUAAAAAGAAGUAUCAAAGGGUUCAAAGACGACACACCUUAUCAACAACUUGGAAGGCAUAAUAAAAUCUCACACCAAAUUGACCAAUCAAAUUGUUGUCUAAACCAUUAUCUUUGCUAUUUUGCCAAAUACAACGGUUAGUGCAAGUAAAUUAUUUAUAAUUAUCAUAAUAAAAUAUUGAUAUAUGUUAAUAAAAGCAUCUAAUGUAUGGAAAUUAGCAAUUUUUCAUUUAAACUUUCAAUUAAGAUUCUUAGCUUACUGUAUGGUUAUUAUUCUAUUCUCUUGAUCAUUUUAAUGUGUAUAUCAUUUCAUAAGCAUCCUCCAAAAGUUAUUGAUCAGUAACACUGAGUAAUCGAAGGUUGUCCAAGGCAUUACUUUGGUUGGCCUAUGCGUAUUAUGAGGCACUAUUCAUAGGUUGUAACAUGUAAGUUCUUUAUGAUCAAGAAUUUAGGUCUUCCUUCCUCCAGGCUCCAACUAUAUUCCAAUGAGUUUUCUUAUAGAUUAACAUAUACAUCAACAUUUCAUCCUAAUAUGUCCAACUGAAAGACAAUUGAGUUAAACAAGGUGCUACAAGUAACGCUAUUCAAUCAAUAACACACGAAAAGUAGCAUGACAAUGCUACACAAAAGGUCAUAUUAAGGAAAUAUGAUUAAUAAAACUCGUUGUGAAUAAUAAUAUAAGAUCUAUUUUCUAGUUCCUAAAGAUAUACUGUAUUUUUGUAAUAUAGUGUUCUUCAUAACUUGGAAGAGGCUACAUACAAAUUAUUUUAUUGCAAAUCCACAAAUUCAGAAUUUUAUUACAAAUCUACCAAUUCAGAAUUAAAGUUCCUUACGACCUCAUGUCAUGAUGUAAGAUCAAAAUAACAAUAGUAGUCGAUUACAAUCCUAAUUCCGAAGAAAUUACAAAUUAUAUCGUUAUAACAACAAUUUAGUAGGCAUAAUUCAACUCUUAUUCAAUGUGCUUUGAAUAAAAAAUCGAUUUUUUAACAAUUUUAAUACCAAUCCGAUGUAAAAACCUAAUUCAAUUGGCUUAUUGGACUACAAUCGGAGAGAGAGAGAGAGAGAGAGAGAGAGAGAGAGAGAGAAAGAGAGAGUACAAUUUUAGGUUGAGGGAGGUGAGAAUUGAACGGUUGCUAGACUGGAUCUCAAGGACGUCCCUUCCCUCCGCCAUUUGAUCGAUAUCGUUUCUCGUUUGAGAUCAACAACCUCGUUGCACAAUCACAUGUCGUCGUUUCCUUUAAGAUCCUUAAUUACACCGUGGAUGUCUGAGAUGUUCGGAUCAAAUUCGCCACCGAAGUCAUAGAUACUCCUUUUCAUACGUGAUCGUCUUAUGCUACUUCCAAAUGUGAUACAUAUGAUAUGAUUUGGGGAAAAUUUUGCUGCUUCCACCGAAGUCAAUGAGAGAAAACGAGGGUUACUGCAAUGAUUUGGGGGAAAAGUAGCUUAGGUAAAAGUAAAUAAUGAGACGUAAUAUAUAUAUAUAUAUAGUUUUUAUUUAUGUAAAUGAAGAAAAAUUCAUAUCUUUUUAAAUUACAAAGAUAUCAUUUUCUUCUUUUGUUUUAAGAUUCUUACUAGUUUCCUUUUAAAAUAAUUUUCUAUAUUUUGCUACGGGAGAGAUAUUACGUAGCUAUUUAACUACGGAAUAAUUCGUAGAGACAUAACUACGGAUUUUGUUUUCGUAGUUAUUUUGCAAAUUCUAAAACCAGUCGUAUACACAAAUAACUAUGAGUAGCCUUUUCGUCACAAGUUUCAUGGUAGAUUAACUACACAAUUUUAUUGUGUAACAAAUUUUCAUAGCAAAAUAACUAUGGAUUUCAAUUUUGUAGCUAACUAGCUACAAAUUUUGAUUCCGUAGCGAAUUUUCUAGCCAAGUAUCUACGGAUAUGAAUUCUAUAACAAGUUCCGUAACGAAUUAGCUACAACCGAAAAUUAUGUAGCAUAUUUUAUAGUAAAAUAGUUACGAGUUUCGAUUUCGUAACAACUAUUCAUGAUUCAGCUACGUAAUGCAAUUCUGCAGUCAUUUUCGUAGCAAAUUACCUACGACCAAGAAUUUUGUAGCAUAUUUCAUAGUAGAAUAGCUACCAAUCUUGAUUCCAUAGAAACUUUACGUAACUAUUUAGGAUUUAGCUGCGGAAUGCAAUUUCGUAAUCGUUUCCGUAGCAUUAUAGCUACGACAAGUCAUUCCGUAACAUAUUCCGUAUUAAAAUUGCUACGGAUUUUGAUUCCGUAAAAAUUUUCCGUAGCUAUUCAUGAUUUUUCUUGUAGUGUUUAUAUCAAUCUGCAUAAAAUCUUGUGAUUUGUAUUAAUAUUAAUUAAUAAAUAUAUCACAACAAAGUAUAAUUAAGUCAAUUAUAGCAUUCUACUAUAACUUAUUUAAUUUAUUAAUGAUUUAUACAUUUUAGAUUAUAAUUUCAUGAACUUAUGACCAAUAUAAAGUAUGAUGCUAUUUUGUGUAUAAAACUUUGAAAAUCAUCAAAACUUUAAUAGACAAUCAUGUAUUCUCUCCGAAAUAUUAAAACUGUAAAAUAGGGGUCGUAGACACUCACAUUCGAUGUGUGAUCUCGAUCUAGUCUCGGUUUUGGUGAAGCUUCACGUGAAAAACCACAUCUGGACACCCUUUUGAGUUAAAACAAAGCAUGGGGCUAUUUUAUAAUAUUUGAAACCAAAAGUACUUGUUUUGAACUACUUACAUCAAAAGGGAUGAUUUGUAAUUUAUCUAACAUCAGGGAUUGUUUUGUGAUAAAUUAAAUCUAAAAGGAAUUACUUUUGUAAUAAUUCACAUUAAACGGAGCUGUUUUGGUCUUUUAGUACAAAAGAAGGGCUGAUUUGGUUAACAAUACAAAUAAUGGGGCUAUUGAUCAAACAAUUACAAGGGGUGGUUUUUGCUCUUUUAAAACAAGGAGAGGGGCAGAAGAAUGAACAAAGCAAGGAGGGCUAGGGAGGUCGAUCUCUGGUGACCUGUGUGGUUAAUCUUCGUCUUCACUGAUCGGGAUAGGAAAACACGAACAAAAGCAGCAAAACGAGGUGGCGUGUUGGAGGAUUAGAAAAUCGUGAGGAGGAAGCUAUGUCUCCGGUUCUUGUCUGAUCGGAGAAGAAAGAACAAUCGAACGAAAGCAGGGAAGAAUGAAGGCAACGAGGAUAAGUCACCCAUCUCCGGCGACCCUCUGAGGGUUUAUUUUUUUUUUUUUUUUAUUGAUCUGACAGAAAACGCAAAGAAGAGGGCAAGGCAGAUCGGAGAUAUCACAACAGAGAGAGGGUGUCUGUGGGUGGGGUAUUACGACAAAAGAGGGUUAAGGGGGGUGGUCACAGUUGAGAUUUAUGAAGAAGGAGGCGGAGGAGCUUUGUCUCAGCCGGAAUGGGAGUCGCCGGUAACCUCUUCCUUUCCGGUGAAGCUUGAAACGAUGAAGGGUAUUAGAGAGAAAAAGAGAUUUUUGAGAGAUAAAUGAAUUGUCAGGAAAAAUGGUAGUUACUUUUGAAGGGCAUCUAAAAUUCUCACAGACUAGAUAUUUUGGGUAAUAAUUCAAAUGAUAUAUAUUUCAUAUAUUUCAUCGGUUUCAAAAUUAUUGUACAUAUUAACGAAAUAUGAAUCACGUUAAUGUUAUAUAAUAAAAUGACAGUUUUGUCUUUAUUUUAUAUUUAAUGUUUUAUUAAAUUUUUAGUUAGUUAAAUAAUAAUUAUGAUAUUUUGGUAAAAAUGUUUUUAUUAUUCGAAGUGAAUUAUUACUUACAGACAAACCAAA